UACAGAGGUCUCAAGCGUUGUUCGGAUAUACUGGGCGUAAAGCGCACGUAGGCGGCGCCGUAAGUCAGGGGUGAAAUCCCGGAGCUCAACUCCGGACUGCCCUUGAAACUGCAGUGCUAGAAUCUUGGAGAGGCGAGUGGAAUUCCGAGUGUAGAGGUGAAAUUCGUAGAUAUUCGGAAGAACACCAGUGGCGAAGGCGACUCGCUGGACAAGUAUUGACGCUGAGGUGCGAAAGCGUGGGGAGCAAACAGGG
rnacentral:rRNA from 1 species